rnacentral:rRNA from 2 species
ACGAACGCUGGCGGCGUGCUUAACACAUGCAAGUCGAACGAUGAAGCCCUUCGGGGUGGAUUAGUGGCGAACGGGUGAGUAACACGUGGGCAAUCUGCCCUUCACUCUGGGACAAGCCCUGGAAACGGGGUCUAAUACCGGAUAACACUUACCUCCUCCUGGGGGUUGGUUAAAAGCUCCGGCGGUGAAGGAUGAGCCCGCGGCCUAUCAGCUUGUUGGUGGGGUAAUGGCCUACCAAGGCGACGACGGGUAGCCG